rnacentral:rRNA from 1 species
UACGGAGGGUGCAAGCGUUAUCCGGAUUCACUGGGCUUAAAGGGUGCGUAGGUGGCCGGGAAAGUUCGAUGUGAAGGCUCGGAGCUCAACUCCGAAAUGGCAUUGAAUACUAUUCGGCUGGAGGGUCGGAGGGGAGACUGGAAUUCUCGGUGUAGCAGUGAAAUGCGUAGAUAUCGAGAGGAACACCAGUGGCGAAGGCGAGUCUCUGGACGACUCCUGACACUGAGGCACGAAAGCUAGGGGAGCAAACAGG